AGAAUCAACGCUGGCGGCGUGCCUAACACAUGCAAGUCGAACGAGAAAGUGGAGCAAUCCACAAGUAAAGUGGCGCACGGGUGAGUAACACGUGACUAACCUACCCUUGAGUGGGGGAUAACCUAGAGAAAUCUGGGCUAAUACCGCAUAAUACCUUCGGGUCAAAGGAGCAAUUCGCUUAAGGAGGGGUCGCGGCCGAUUAGUUAGUUGGCGGGGUAAUGGCCCACCAAGACUAUGAUCGGUA
rnacentral:rRNA from 1 species